rnacentral:rRNA from 1 species
GAUGAACGCUGGCUACAGGCUUAACACAUGCAAGUCGAGGGGAAACGACGGGGAAGCUUGCUUCCCCGGGCGUCGACCGGCGCACGGGUGAGUAACGCGUAUCCAACCUGCCUCUGACUGAGGGAUAACCCGUCGAAAGUCGGCCUAAUACCUCAUGGUAUCGUCUGCGGGCAUCCAACGACGAUUAAAGAUUUCAUCGGUCAGGGAUGGGGAUGCGUCUGAUUAGCUUGUUGGCGGGGUAACGGCCCACCAAGGCUACGAUCAGUAGGGGUUCUGAGAGGAAGGUCCCCCACAUUGGAACUGAGACACGGUCCAAACUCCUACGGGAGGCAGCAGUGAGGAAUAUUGGUCAAUGGGCGAGAGCCUGAACCAGCCAAGUAGCGUGCAGGAAGACGGCCCUAUGGGUUGUAAACUGCUUUUAGGCGGGGAUAAAGUGAGGGACGUGUCCCUCAUUGCAGGUACCGCAUGAAUAAGAACCGGCUAAUUCCGUG